rnacentral:antisense_RNA from 1 species
CUUGACCGAACCCAGCCACAGCGGCCGGCCCUCCCGCUCCUGACCGUAGGCCGCGAGCAGCGCCUGCGCCUC